rnacentral:rRNA from 1 species
GGUGAGUAACGCGUGGGUGACGUACCCUUUGGACGGGGAUAGCUGCUAGAAAUAGCAGAUAAUACCGGAUAAGGUGGCCUGUGUCAGAGGCAGGUCAGGAAAGGAACAUUUGUUCCGCCGAAGGAACGGCUCGCGAGCUAUUAGCUAGUUGGUGAGGUAACGGCCCACCAAGGCGAUGAUAGCUACCCGGCCUAAGAGGGUGAACGGGCACAUUGGGACUGAGAUACGGCCCAGACUCC